rnacentral:lncRNA from 1 species
GGGACGCCCUGAGAGGCGAGCGGCAGCCGGGAUUCCGGUCGUGGUCCAGGGGUGGGCUUUGCACAGCGCGGCAUGUGGCUCUGAGUGCAUAGUAGCCGUUUCCUCCCCAGGCGGGCUUCGCACCUGUCCUCAUCUCCCGGGCACGGGAGGGUGCAGCCAGUGUUUACUACAAUUCUGUGAGAUGCAAAAGAUUCCGCGGGCGUCCGAACCCCUCCACUGAAUUUCUGCGACUCACACAGCGUCAAAUUGGCAGGAAGGCGCGCCCAUUCCGUUGUCUUCAAAAUCAGCGCAAAUUGACCGGCAUAGACAUUCGUUGAGAAAACGCUUCCUUUCUGGGGAGGCAACCUAGGUGUGACCUCAAGGGGAUCGUGACUGCUUUGAAUUCAGCUUCCUCAGACAGCAGUCGGGCAAGAAAGGUUCCAGAAUGGGACACUUACUGAGACAUAAAUUUGAGGGACACGAAGAGACUUCCUGUGUCCAAAAUUAACCUGAAGCUGUCGAUUUACCUGAAAUUGCCAAUUUAAGGUAAUGAAUAGAUACCGAAAAGAAGAGCUGAGAGAGAAAGACCUAGAGAAGAGAAAGUCAAACCCACAGGCUCACCUGCCCACACUUCAGAACUUUCUGAAUUCUCAGACUUUAUACCGAUGGCAGACCCCAGCUCCACUCAUCCAAAGCUUUCCAUUUUGGUCAGUUUGAAUCCCUAUGAGGCAACUGCUUUCAGAAGGGUAGGUAUUAUGAGCUCACAUAGGGCUGUGGGGGAGGGGUGAGCUGAUCUGUGGGGACUCCCCUAUUUAGUAGCUGGUCACUCCACUUCAA